rnacentral:rRNA from 1 species
AAAAUUGUUUUCAUUUAUUUGUGGUUCUCGAAUUUAUAAGAGUUAAAAGAUUUUAUAUUUUGUUGUUAAAUAAACAUUUAAAAGAUUUUUUUGGGGGUGAAAUGUUAUUCGUUUAUAGGUAUAUCUAGUUGUUUAAGAAAUUAAUUUAAUUAGGCGGGCUUAAUUGGGUUAGGGUAUUUUUUUAGUUUUACUUAUUAGUCUAGUAAUUGUCUGAGGGAUAAGCUUUGGACAAAAUUUGAAUGAAGGUUUUAGGUGUAAAAUAUUAAUAGGAUUGGAAGUUUCUAUUUUAAAAUGUGUUAUUACAUGUAUAUUGAUUAGUACUAUUUUUUAUUCUUUCUUGUUAUUUUAUUAAACUGAUUAAUAAAAUUAUUUAUUUUUUAGAAUAAUGAUUAAAUUAGUAUAAUGAUUUGUUAGGAAUAUUUAAGUUAAAUAUUAGGAUAAGGAAUUCGGCAAAUGAUUUUUCGCCUGUUUAUUAAAAACAUGUCCUUUUGAUUAUAAUUUAAGGUCUGGCCUGCCCACUGAAUUUUGAAUGGCCGCGGUAUUUUGACCGUGCAAAGGUAGCAUAAUAAUUAGUUUUUUUAUUGAAAGCUGGAAUGAAGGGUUGGACGAGAAAAUAGCUGUCUCUUUCUAAUUUGAUUAGAAUUUUAUUUUUGAGUUAAAAAGCUCAAAUUUUUUUGAAAGACGAGAAGACCCUAUAGAAUUUGAUAUUUUUUUUGUUAGGCUUUAUUGGGUAAUUAUGAUAUUGGCUUUUAAAAGUGUUUUGUUGGGGUGAUGGAAAAAUUUAAUUAACUUUUUUUUUGUUUUUUCACUUAUUUGUGUUUUGUUGAUCCAUUGAUUUUGAUUAUAAGAUUAAAUUACCUUAGGGAUAACAGCGUUAUUUUAUUUGAGAGUUCUUAUCGAAAAUAAAGUUUGCGACCUCGAUGUUGGAUUAAAGUUAACUAUUGGUGAAGAGGCUAAUACGUUAGGUCUGUUCGACCUUUAAAAUUUU